CCCGGGAUGAGGCGCCGUUACCGUGCCGGAGCCCCCGGACGCUGUGUCAGCCAUCUUGGAGCCAUAUGGAGCUGUCCGCAUGCGCCAGGCUCGAAAGUGCACAAAGACCCGACCUCAAAUGCAGCAAUACUGAGCAAGUUGGAGCCACAGUAACGUGAGCAGCACAAUCCAUGGGAAAGCAGGGAAAUGAGGAGGC